CUGUCUGUCUCUCUCUCUCUCUGUUGGUGGCACUGGGAUCCACAGGCGUUUUUUGGAGGACAGGAACAGGACAGGACACGCACCCUCUUGCACCACCACCACCACCACCACCACCACAGACAUGUCGGACUCCGAAGCCGCCGCUGCCCCCGCCGAGGCCCCCGUCCCCGCUGCUUGUGCCAGUAUCAAGGCUGACCUGGACAAAUGCGUGGCGGAGAAGGGAGCUGAGGGCUGCAAAGAUCUGAUGGAGGCCUUCGCUGCUUGUGUGAAGAACGCUGCUGAGGGGACGUCAUGAGGAGUCGCCCUGCAGCCUCCAAUGUCCACUGCACUGAGUCCUCCAAGUUCCCAGCAUUCCCUUCUGCACAACAGCACUGGACUGAAUGAUGACAACAACGACGACGACGACGAUGAUGAUGAUGAUGAUGAUCGUAGCGCAACAUGUUGAUCUGUUGAUUCGGGCUGAGUUUGGGAUCUGGCGGCAGUAACCACAGUUUCCUCCCCCUGUCCUCCCCCCUCCUGUUUUAGUCUUAUCUGGUGUCCCUGUCUUACCGCCGUUCCCCUUCUCCCUCUACAGCUGACUUGCAGUAAACGGGCAAUUCCAGAGGGCCGAUGGGCUGUGAUGUAAAUUGUCGACUUGAAAUGAAUACUUAUAAAAGGAAAUAAAAGUAUCAAAAAAUUGGUAUAAUAAGAA